rnacentral:rRNA from 1 species
AUGGUCAUGGAGGCCCUUCACCACCUGCUUCAACGCGCGGCCUCAGAGGGGUUGUUGACUCCCCUUGCACUAAACGGUCUACAGCUCAGGACAUCGAUAUAUGCGGAUGAUGUGGUCACCUUUCUAAGGCCUGACCGUGGGAGCCUCAGGGCAUGCGCCGCACUGCUCACAGAUUUUGGUACGGCUUCGGGCCUACGGACGAACAUGGUCAAGUGUUCUGCGCACCCGAUUCGUUGUUCGGAGGAGCAAGUGCAGUGGAUAGCUGAGGAGCUAGGUUGCCAGGCGAUCGGAUGGCCUUGCCGGUACCUCGGGUUGCCUUUGGGCUUGCGCAAGGUAUCGGCAUCGCAGUUACAGUAUGUGGUGGAUAGAAUGGCCGAUCGCCUUCCCGCAUGGCAAGCGAGACUGCUCUUCCGGGCUGCGCGUCUGGAGCUAGUAAAGACCACGCUAGCGUCCAUGCCCAUACAUGCGAUGGUGGCGCUGGACCUGCCAGUGAAAACCAUCGAAGCUGCAAAUAAGAUAUGUCGCAGUUUUCUGUGGAAGGGACGCCGAGACGUGCAUGCCGGUCAUUGUCUAGUGACAUGGGAUCAGGUGUGCACGCCAAAGGAGUAUGGCGGCCUCGGCAUUCCGAAUUUGCGCAUUCUCAACGCCGCACUCCGAGCAAGAUGGCCUUGGUUAAUGCGAACGGAGCACGACCGGCCAUGGAAUGAGUUCAACAUUCAAGUGUCACCGGACUCCUUGAGCAUAUACAAGGCGGCGAUGAAGUGCAUGAUAGGAAAUGGAGAGGUGCCUUUGUUCUGGACAGAUUGA